GUGGGGAAUCUUCCGCAAUGGACGAAAGUCUGACGGAGCAACGCCGCGUGAGUGAAGAAGGUUUUCGGAUCGUAAAGCUCUUUCGUUAGGGACGAACGUGCUCCUUGUGAAUAAUGAGGAGUAAUGACGGUACCUAAAUAAGAAGCCACGGCUAACUACGUGCCAGCAGCCGCGGUAAUACGUAGGUGGCAAGCGUUGUCCGGAAUUAUUGGGCGUAAAGCGCGCGCAGGCGGGAUAUCAAGUCUGUCUUAAAAGUGCGAGGCUCAACCUCGUGAGGGGACAGAAACUGGUAUUCUUGAGUGUCGGAGAGGAAAGUGGAAUUCCAAGUGUAGCGGUGAAAUGCGUAGAGAUUUGGAAGAACACCAGUGGCGAAGGCGACUUUCUGGACGAUGUCUGACGCUGAGGCGCGAAAGCUAGGGGAGCGAACGGGAUUAGAAACCCUGGUAGUCC
rnacentral:rRNA from 1 species